rnacentral:tRNA from 1 species
GUCCUCAUAGUUAAAUGGAUAUAAUAAGCCCCUCCGAAGGGCUCGUUGCAGGUUCGAUCCCUGCUGGGGACGCCA